rnacentral:rRNA from 1 species
GAUGAACGCUGGCGGCGUGCUUAACACAUGCAAGUCGAACGAUGAAGCCCAGCUUGCUGGGUGGAUUAGUGGCGAACGGGUGAGUAACACGUGAGUAACCUGCCCUUAACUCUGGGAUAAGCCUGGGAAACUGGGUCUAAUACCGGAUAGGAGCGUCCACCGCAUGGUGGGUGUUGGAAAGAUUUAUCGGUUUUGGAUGGACGCGCGGCCUAUCAGCUUGUUGGUGAGGUAAUGGCUCACCAAGGCGACGACGGGUAGCCGGCCUGAGAGGGUGACCGGCCACACUGGGACUGAGACACGGCCCAGACUCCUACGGGAGGCAGCAGUGGGGAAUAUUGCACAAUGGGCGCAAGCCUGAUGCAGCGACGCCGCGUGAGGGAUGACGGCCUUCGGGUUGUAAACCUCUUUCAGUAGGGAAGAAGCGAAAGUGACGGUACCUGCAGAAGAAGCACCGGCUAACUACGUG